CCAGACAUCAUGGAGCACUUCUUCCAGUUUUGUCAGGGUAAGUCUAUUAAUUAGUUCAUCAUAUAACCUUAUAUUUUGAACCAUAUUAAAUUUUUAGGUCAGACAUGCUGAGCUUGACAGAUACUUGUUACCAAAUGACUAAGUGUUGGUUUUUUUCUUUGUUUAAUUUUUUUAAAAAUACCUAUUUUACAGGCAUGGCAUUUCAAAACAUUUAAUUCUACUUCUAAUAUACAAUUUAAGAAAGCACAAAUGCAUUCAAAGAUUUAAGCUAUAACACUUAUAUAUGAAAAAGAAAAUCUAUUAAUAAAUGAAACCCAAUAAUCAUAUGAUAUUUUAUUAAUACAUUUAGAUCUAACAAACUGCAUGAUUGCUUAGUGAUACUAAAACAUUAUAAUCUUUUUAACAUAUAAUUGCUAAAGACAAACAUGCAUUAUGACAUUUAACAGUCACUGUUAAGAACAAGUUGGUUCUAUAGUAACCCAUAUCAAGGAUCUACUCACACUUUUUGGUCACAAUAAAACUUUAUUUUUUUUCUGGAUUGUCCCAACCUUUAUAUCUUAUUCUGUACAACAUAGAAAAUAUUGUUUGUGAGUGUUUUGAUUCAAUUAGAGUGGAUCUAAAGCAUAAAAUAUUGAUUCAUUGAUCAGUAUUUUACAUAGAUGGAACAGUCAGUACAAAUUUGACACUUCCCCUUAUUUUGUGAUAGAUCUCAAGUCAUGCAGCUAGCUUACUGCCCAGUAAGACUGUAGUCAUGUAAUGCUGCAGUUACAUUUGUAUGACAACAUUUGGAUAUUCUUAUUAAAUAAAGGUAAAAAUACUCAGUAGAUUUUGAUAUUAUUUGAUAAUGUUUCUAUUGAGUAUUUUCUCAUUUAUUGUUUAAGGAAAACCAAUUGUUUUCUUUUGAGAAAGUAACAUUGUGUCUUUUUAGUAAAAAAAAAAAAUUGGUAUUUUGUUAUUUUGUCAGGUAUGAAUACAUGUACAUACCUUGAACUAGUUUUUGAAUUUUUUUGAAAAUGCUAUCAAAUGUGUUAUUUUAGUGCAAUGACUAUGUAUACAAUUAAAUUUUGCAAGGGAAUAUC
rnacentral:misc_RNA from 1 species